GUUGGAUGUUGAAGUUGAAGCUCCUUUUCUACACAGACCUGCUGAGGACAGAAAGUUGAGACAGAAGAGAGCUGCACAAUGAUGAAGUUCAUGGCUGAAAGUUGAUGUUUCCUCUCCAGAUGAAGGUGUGGACUCUGCUAUGAGUCAGUGUGAGGACAGAGAGGAGGGAGUUCCUCCCUCUAAAACCACUCUGUGUGGGGAACAUGACAGCCAGACCAAAGCUCAGAGGU